rnacentral:rRNA from 1 species
UGAGUAACACGUAUCCAACCUGCCGUCUACUCUUGGACAGCCUUCUGAAAGGAAGAUUAAUACAAGAUGGCAUCAUGAGUCCGCAUGUUCACAUGAUUAAAGGUAUUCCGGUAGACGAUGGGGAUGCGUUCCAUUAGAUAGUAGGCGGGGUAACGGCCCACCUAGUCUUCGAUGGAUAGGGGUUCUGAGAGGAAGGUCCCCCACAUUGGAACUGAGACACGGUCCAC